UAAUUUAUUUUGCUGAACCCAAUGGUAAAGCAGGGGAAGGCGCAUUUGCCGUGACGCUCAAUUCGUAUAUAAAGGCACUGGCAGAGGGUUCCAUGGACAACAAUUCUCCCCUCACUCAGCGAACAACACUAGAAGACUUCACAACCAUGAAGCUCGUGAUCGCACUGACCUGCUUGUUGGCGCUGUGCGCAGCCGAAGAAGAGGAUAAGCCUCAAGUCGCUCAGAUUGCUGAUCUGGAUGCUGCGGAACACCACGGAGGGUACGGUAGACGUCCUAGUGGAUACGCUGGAUAUCACGGACAGAGCGGAUUUGGUGGAUACGGAGGGCGUCCAAGUGGACACGGUGGAUAUGGGGGACAUAGCGGAUACGGACCAACAUGGUGGAUGGGGCCGAAAACGCCGCUCGGUUGGAGAGGACCAGCCGAUCGUAGAGGAUGUUCAGCCAAUCGUCCAGGAUGUCUCUGAUCUUGACGCAGCCGAGACCCGAAGAUACGCUGGAUACGGUGGCCGAGGAGGUUACGGCGUAUCCAAAGGACACGGUGGCCAUAACCGUAAAGGCCGCUCUGUCGAAGACGACGUCGUUGUAGACCUGGACACCGCUGAACAUUACAGUUUAGGCUACGGUGGUUAUGGCGGCUACGGUGGCUACGGUGGCUACGGUGGCUAUGGUGUCCAUAGGGGUUACGGCAACUACGGUGGUUACGGUAGCUACGGCGGGUAUAGACCCAGUGGUUUAUGGUGGUUAUGGAGGAUAUGGUUGGGGACGCUAAAAUGUGAAAAAUGACCACUGUUGUUAAGUUUAGUAUGUUGGCUACGUUCUGUAAUAAUGACAUCUCUCUUUCCUCCAAUAUUGUUGAGUCGUGCAUGUUAUCCAAUCCAAAAGCAAAAGUAAAACUAACAUUUUUGAUACUUACAUGUAAGGUUAAAUGGGCCGGUAACAUAAAUACGUUUUUUGAUUUAAUAAACAUGCCAUUUCGGUGCUUCUGACCAUAUCAAUAUUAUCUUAGUUCUCUAAUCCUUUUUACGAAAGCUGCCCCAGCUAAAUUCCUUUUAGCUAUAAGAAAUGCCAAUCCUCGCUAUGGCCGUGGAUAAAUGACAGUUGGAUUUGGCACGUCAAAGUGCAGAGCUCCAUUACACUGUACGCACAUUUCAUAUGUAUAUUUAUUAAAAUGAGAUAGAAGCACGUAAUGGAACAUCGUUUUACAAUCUGCGCACAAAGAGGUUAUCGACAUUUUGGUGUUGCUACACAAUUUAAUAAUAAGACAUAAAAAUGUGCAUCAUGUUUUACAUGAGAAAUAAUAACUGCUUAGUCGUCAUAAUUUCAGUAUCUGUUACAUAGCGGGGUGCGUGCCACCUGAAAAUGUGUGACUACCAUCACAACAGCACUGCAGCAACCAGAACAGCGGUGUUAAGCGUAAUGAUAAAUAUAGAAAUAAGAAAAAUUAAGAAACGAAGAAAACAAGUUUUGCUUUAGGCUAGGCAUUGCAGCUGCCUGGCCAAGUUGAAGUCGUUGACGACAUCUCUGAUAGAGAUGAAAACUGGUUUUUUUUUUUUAUGACUUUAUUUUUGCCUUUUCAGGGAUUUUGUUUUUUCCCUACGACGCAGAAAACAAGUUGCUUUUCAGGGGCGAGGGGAAUUUUUUUUUAAAUUUGAAUCAAAGAUUCUAUCGUCUUAGAUGACGAAAUCAAUUGCUCGAGGUUCCCAAACAGGUACACUGAUGCGUGACGAUGAGUCGGUAUAAAAAGGACUGAUUAACAGUUCCAGAAAACAUCUUCACCACAGCAAUCGAGAGCAACACUUGGGAAAAUUUAGCAAACAUGAAAAUCGUGAUCGCGUUAGUAUGUUUAAUGGCGCUAGCUGCAGCUGUUGAAGAGACGGACAUAGUCGUCGAGACCGCUGAUCUUGAUGUGGCCGAACACCGCAGGCCCGGUGGAUACUAUGGAGGAUACCGUGGCGGACAUGGAAAAUAUCGGGGCGGAUAUCAUGGACAUUAUGGUUGGGGUCGCAAACGCCGCUCCGUAGAAGACGAAUGCCGUUGUCGCUGACUUGGAAACUGCGGAACAUCGACGUGGAGGAUACGGAGGCCGGAGACAUCACAGCGGACAUCGUGGCGGGCAUGGAGGACAUCGUGGUUAUGGUAGUUUCGGCCAUCAUGGCUAAAAUAAUGCUUCUUGAUGCGAAUUUAUGUUAAAUGAUUUUGUUAUUCUAAACUGUUGUUGUCCACCAUUUGAGGGUAUUUUGAAAUCUCCUUAGUUUUGCCAGUGCCAGUGUUGUUAAUCGUUAUCACGAAUUAUUUUCAUUUAAUAUUAAAGUAUCUGAGUUAUAUCAA
rnacentral:lncRNA from 1 species